UACGAAGGGGGCUAGCGUUGCUCGGAAUCACUGGGCGUAAAGCGCACGUAGGCGGACUCUUAAGUCGGUGGUGAAAUCCUGGAGCUCAACUCCAGAACUGCCUCCGAUACUGGGAGCCUUCGAGUCCGGGAGAGGUGAGUGGAACUGCGAGUGUAGAGGUGAAAUUCGUAGAUAUUCGCAAGAACACCAGUGGCGAAGGCGGCUCACUGGCCCGGUACUGACGCUGAGGUGCGAAAGCGUGGGGAG
rnacentral:rRNA from 1 species